rnacentral:rRNA from 1 species
UAGGGAAUCUUCGGCAAUGGACGAAAGUCUGACCGAGCAACGCCGCGUGAGUGAAGAAGGUUUUCGGAUCGUAAAACUCUGUUGUUAGAGAAGAACAAGGACGUUAGUAACUGAACGUCCCCUGACGGUAUCUAACCAGAAAGCCACGGCUAACUACGUGCCAGCAGCCGCGGUAAUACGUAGGUGGCAAGCGUUGUCCGGAUUUAUUGGGCGUAAAGCGAGCGCAGGCGGUUUCUUAAGUCUGAUGUGAAAGCCCCCGACUCAACCGGGGAGGGUCAUUGGAAACUGGGAGACUUGAGUGCAGAAGAGGAGAGUGGAAUUCCAUGUGUAGCGGUGAAAUGCGUAGAUAUAUGGAGGAACACCAGUGGCGAAGGCGGCUCUCUGGUCUGUGACUGACGCUGAGGCUCGAAAGCGUGGGGAGCAAACAGG